AGCGUGGAGACAGGUGGUGCAUGGCUGUCGUCAGCUCGUGUCGUGAGAUGUUGGGUUAAGUCCCGCAACGAGCGCAACCCUCACCCCUUGUUGCCAUCAGGUCACGCUGGGCACUCUAGGGGAACUGCCCCGGUCAACGGGGAGGAAGGUGGGGACGACGUCAAGUCAUCAUGCCCCUUACGUCCUGGGCUACACACGUGCUACAAUGGCCGGUACAAAGGGAUGCAAGACCGUGAGGUGGAGCUGAACCCAAAAAGCCGGUCUAAGUUCAGAUUGGAGUCUGCAACUCGACUCCAUGAAGGAGGAAUCGCUAGUAAUCGCGCAUCAGCACGGCGCGGUGAAUACGUUCCCGGGCCUUGUACACACCGCCCGUCACACCACGAAAGCCAGCUGUACUCGAAGUCGCUGAG
rnacentral:rRNA from 1 species